GCAUAAAAAUCAAGAAGAUAUGGGUGGAGAGGGAUAUUAUUGAAGAAAGGGCCUAAAAAUAUGGGCAACUCAGAAUCUCCCAUUUACUACAUGUCUAAAUGUAUUUCCAUUGGCUAUAUAUAGAGGGAGAUGCAAGGCAUUGAAGGGUAUCCAUCCCAAAUAGCUAAGGGCAGUUUGAAGAGGUGUCCUAGAAAAGGAGGGCCUUACAUGAAGAGUUAAGAGUCAUGGUUUAGUAGCCAAGGAUGACUUGCCUGCUUCAUUUUGUGAAGGUUUAAUUAUUAUCAAGCUAAUUACCAUGCAAUUAUGCUGGUUAAUUAGAGCUUUCGAAAAGUCUGCCGCUCUGUUUGUUUCUCUAUAGAUAUAUUUGAUUUCCCAACUAUCAAAAAAAGAAGGAGGCUUUUGAUAUUUGCAAUGAUGUUGUGAAGCUUCCAUGGAAUAGACCUAAUUCCUUUGACAGAGUUGAUAACGAGGAGAUUGUCACCUUCAAUGAGUAGUCUUCUAAUGUUGAGAUGUUUGGCUUCCUGAAGACUUUUGUGGAGAGUCGUGACUUCAGCCACGAGAGCUUGACAGUUGUUGAGGUUGAAAGUGCAAGAAGAGAACACUUGUCGAUCACUGUCUCGGACAAUGAUUCAUGCUGCUGCUGAAGAUGGUUUUACAAAUGACUUGCUAAGGAGGCUUAUGUGUACUGUUUUAGCUUGGAAUGAAAUUUUAGAACAUUACUAAUAUCCAUUAGUACUCAUAUUCUCAUAAUAUCCAUUAGUACGGAGUACUUGUAUUAUUGACUAAUCACUAUGAUAAGUUGUACUUGUACUAUGAUAAUCACUACUCAUAUAGCUAUCCUUCUCAAGGCUUAGUCCAUUGGGCUUGAUCCA